rnacentral:rRNA from 1 species
GACGAACGCUGGCGGCGUGCUUAACACAUGCAAGUCGAACGGAAAGGCUCCAGCUUGCUGGAGUACUCGAGUGGCGAACGGGUGAGUAACACGUGGGUGAUCUGCCCUGCACUUCGGGAUAAGCCUGGGAAACUGGGUCUAAUACCGGAUAGGACCGCACUUGGGUGUGUGUGGUGGAAAGGUUUUUCUGGUGUGGGAUGAGCUCGCGGCCUAUCAGUUUGUUGGUGGGGUAAUGGCCUACCAAGACGGCGACGGGUAGCCGGCCUGAGAGGGUGGACGGUCACAUUGGGACUGAGAUACGGCCCAGACUCCUACGAGAGGCAGCAGUGGGGAAUAUUGCACAAUGGGGGAAACCCUGAUGCAGCGACGCCGCGUGGGGGAUGAAGGCCUUCGGGUUGUAAACUCCUUUCGCUAGGGACGAAGCUUUUUGUGACGGUACCUGGAGAAGAAGCACCGGCUAACUACGUG